rnacentral:misc_RNA from 1 species
GAAAUGCGAUAAUUAAUGUGAAUUGCAGAAUUCAGUGAAUCAUCGAGUCUUUGAACGCACAUUGCGCCCCCUGGUAUUCCGGGGGGCAUGCCUGUCCGAGCGUCAUUGCUGCCCUCAAGCACGGCUUGUGUGUUGGGCUUCCGUCCCUGGCAACGGGGACGGGCCCAAAAGGCAGUGGCGGCACCAUGUCUGGUCCUCGAGCGUAUGGGGCAUUGUCACCCGCUCCCGUAGGUCCAGCUGGCAGCUAGCCUCGCAACCAAUCUUUUUAACCAGGUUGACCUCGGAUCAGGUAGGGAUACCCGCUGAACUUAAGC